rnacentral:rRNA from 1 species
GACGAACCGUGCGAACGUUGUUCGGAAUCACUGGGCUUAAAGGGCGCGUAGGCGGCAUGCCGAGCCCGGGGUGAAAGCCCCCGGCUCAACCGGGGAAGUGCCUUGGGGACCGGCGUGCUCGAGGGGGGUAGGGGUCGCGGGAACUUCGGGUGGAGCGGGUGAAAUGCGUUGAUAUCCGAAGGAACGCCGGCGGCGAAAGCGCGCGACUGGGCCCUUCGACGCUGAGGCGCGAAAGCCAGGGGAGCGGAACGGG